AAAAAAGUCAGUGAAAAGCUUGUCAGAAGUACCUUCAACCUCCAUGAAGUCUGAGUUGAGCUUCAUCGUUGUUUGCAAACCAGUGGGAGCUACAGAACAUAAAAGACACUGCAGGAAUAUUCCAUGUGUUCUAUCCUUCAUUCCACCGGAGUCUGUAUCUGUAUUUAACCAGAUUUCAGUGGUGUGAAGUGUAAAAGACAUGGACGCAUGACUUCAGGAGCCGACUAGAUUGCAAGAUGGAUACCAGCACACAAGUCAAUUAGUUUGUUCCUGUACUUUAUCAGUAAUCAAAUAUUUUAAUUUUCAUCCUGCUUUAUUUCAUGCUACAUAUGUAAACCUUGGAUUAUCUGCUGGAAACUGUAAUGUAACAUGAAUAAAAUUCUUGACCUCCUG